AAUCUACUCCCUCCGUCCAGAAAUAUUUGUCACCAAAAUGGAUAAAAGGGAAUGUAUCUAAACGUAUUUUAAUUUUAAAUACAUCUUUUUUUCAUUUUGAUGACAAGUAUUUUGGACAAAGAGAGUACUCG
rfam:Triticum aestivum genome assembly, contig: Triticum_aestivum_CS42_TGACv1_scaffold_211751_3AS